GGACAGAAUUUAAGAAUAUGAACCCCCAACCACGAAAUCAGGAAAGUUACAACGUACGAGUUGAAUGGACUAACUUCCUAAGAUGUUCGUGAAUCAUGUUGCAGAUAUCUUAGCUGAUAAUAAUUAUUGCAAUAACAUCUUAUAUUUAGGCAUAGAAACUAUAGCUGGAGGCAUCGGCAAUGAUAUUCCUGAAGCCACCAAUAAUUGAUGCCAACAUAUUGCACACCACGUACUCCUAUGUAUAUUGCGGCCUUAAAGACAC
rnacentral:lncRNA from 1 species